rnacentral:rRNA from 1 species
GACGAACGCUGACGGCGUGCUUAACACAUGCAAGUCGAACGGAAAGGCCCUGUUUUUGUGGGGUGCUCGAGUGGCGAACGGGUGAGUAACACGUGAGUAACCUGCCCUUGACUUUGGUAUAACUUCAGGAAACUUGGGCUAAUACCGGAUAGGAGCUCCUCCUGCAUGGUGGGUGUUGGAAAGUUUCGGCGGUUGGGGAUAGACUCGCCUCUUAUCAGCUUGUUGGUGUGGUAGUGACUUACCAAGGCUUUGACGGGUAGACGGCCUGAGAGGGUGACCGGCGACAUUGGGACAGAGAUACGGCACAGACUCCUAUGGGAGGCAGCGGUGGGGAAUAUAGCGCAAUAGGCGGAAGACUGAGGCAGAAAAACCCCGUGCGGAAUAACGGCCUUCGGGUUGUAAACAGCUUUCGCCUGAGACGAAGCGUGAGUGACGGUAAUGGGUAAAGAAGCACCGGCUAACUACGUG